rnacentral:rRNA from 1 species
GAAUUCGCCCUUAGAGUUUGAUCCUGUUUCAGGAUGAACGCUGACAGAAUGCUUAACACAUGCAAGUCGAUUCGAUUUACCUUCGGGUAUUGAGGAUGGCGGACGGGUGAGUAACGCGUAAGGAACUUGCCUCUUGGUCUGGGACAACUGUUGGAAACGACAGCUAAUACCGGAUAUUAUGAGAUUCUCGCAUGGGAAACUUAUGAAAGCUAUAUGCGCCAAGAGAGAGCCUUGCGUUCCAUUAGCUAGUUGGUGGGGUAACGGCCCACCAAGGCGACGAUGGAUAGCCGGCCUGAGAGGGUGAACGGCCACAAGGGGACUGAGACACGGCCCUUACUCCUACGGGAGGCAGCAGUGGGGAAUAUUGGACAAUGGGCCACAAGCCUGAUCCAGCAAUUCUGUGUGCACGAUGAAGGUCUUCGGAUUGUAAAGUGCUUUCAGUUGGGAAGAAGAAAGUGACGGUACCAACAGAAGAAGCGACGGCUAAAUACGUGCCAGCAGCCGCGGUAAUACGUAUGUCGCAAGCGUUAUCCGGAUUUAUUGGGCGUAAAGCGCGUCUAGGCGGAAAAAUAAGUCUGAUGUUAAAAUGCGGGGCUCAACUCCGUAUUGCGUUGGAAACUGUUUUUCUAGAGUACUGGAGAGGUGGGCGGAACUACAAGUGUAGAGGUGAAAUUCGUAGAUAUUUGUAGGAAUGCCGAUGGAGAAGUCAGCUCACUGGACAGAUACUGACGCUAAAGCGCGAAAGCGUGGGGAGCAAACAGGAUUAGAUACCCUGGUAGUCCACGCCGUA